GACGAACGCUGGCGGCGUGCUUAACACAUGCAAGUCGAACGGUGAAGCGCCUUCCUUUUUGGUGGGUGUGGAUGCGAGGCGAACGGUUGAGUAACACGUGAGUAACCUGCCCCCUUCUUCUGGAUAACCGCAUGAAAGUGUGGCUAAUACGGGAUCUUCUGGGUCUGUCUCAUGAUGGGUCUGGUACAGAUAUUGUUUCUGGGGGGGCUGGGCUCGCGGCCUUUCAGCUUGUUGGUGUGGUGCUGGCCUAGCAAGGCGGUGGCGGAUAGCCGGCCUGAGAGGGUGGACGGUCAAGCGGGGACUGGGACACGGUGCAGACUCCAACGGGAGGCGGCAGUGGGGAAUAUUGCACGAGGGGCGCAAGCCUGAUGCAGCGACGCCGCGUGAGGGAUGGAGGCCUUCGGGUUGUGAGCCUCUUUCGCCAGUGAAGCAGGCCUGCUUCGUUGUGGGUGGGUUGACGGUAGCUGGAUAAGAAGCGCCGGCUAACUACGUG
rnacentral:rRNA from 1 species